GCUGUGCUGCUGGUGUUGACCGCUCAGCUUCUCUGUAAGCAGAGGCCCUAGAUGCUGAAUCAAAAGGUUAUAUGAGGUGUGAGUAGGAGCAUCCAUCACAGUGUUCUGCUGGAUUUCCAACUCGGAUAACUGAAUUGCACUCUGAGUAGCAAACUGUUCCUCAGGUAACAUCACCUAGAGAAAUGGGUUUAAAGCACAGGCCUACUCAGACGUCUGCAGCACUCCUAACCUUGCUGGAGUGCACCCCGCGGUAGCUCCGGGUCAGUACAGCAGGAUAUGACCCUUCUUCUAUGUCCGGGCUUUGGCCUCACACAGUAGGUGUAAUAUAAUCGCUGAGGUGGGCGUUCUGGAAGGAGAAUUAUUUUUGAAGGCUUUUGCAUGAAACUUGUCCAAUGAGUCUGAGACGCCCAAGCACCAUUAAUUUUGGAGUUUUCAUUUUGAUUAGAUACCUCUGCAAAACUCUCUUCUAAACAAAUUCAGAAACCAAAACAAACAAACCUGG
rnacentral:lncRNA from 1 species